UAGAGUUCUGUUCACAUUGAAAUGAGAAGAGGCCAACAUGGAACCUCAGAGAAACCGUCAGUGACGCUGGAGGCCCACGUUCCAUGGAGCAGGCCAACGAAUGCAGAGGAAGGAAGGAAGCGGAGUUCACAGGGUAUCAUGAGAACUUCAAUGUGAAUCAGGAUUUGGCAACUACUGGAUAUGGGAAGAAUCCUGGGCCCCAACUGUGUUGGUUUGGAUACCUAAGGAAUUUCCAGUGAAAUAGAAAUGGAGAAACAAGACACUUCAGAUCAUGUCAUAUCUUGUACAUUAAAAUAAGCUGAGGAAUGUGAACAAGAAUGAUUAAGUACUGAUGUGUAAAUGAGCUAAAGGUGACUCUCGUCCCCAAAACUGGAUGAAGUCUGAAAAAGAACCCGCUCAUGUUUCCUAGUUCUGAUGUGGGGGCAGGGCGACUGAAGAGAAUGGUCAGCCAAACACAAAUGUUCUAUAAAUAUUUGGAGAACAAAGUCUACAUAUUUUUGACCUUCACGUAAAUGCUAUCACAUUGUUUGUUCUUUUGUAAACAUGAAAUCUGCCUCAGCAGAGUCCAUCUGUAGGAGGUAGGGUGUGUGGAUAUGUCUGAUGAAGUAAUGGGGAAGGCCAAAGAAAAGUCUCCCUGCCUGAAGGCCAAAAUGUCUCCUAUUAAGAACUUAAAGUGCACUAUCAAACAUCAGCCAAAAAAAAGGAAAUAAGAGUUUCCUGGACAAGUCUACUAAACUGGUAGCAAGAAACAAUGCAACCUACUACAGAACAACCCAUCCUACAAGAAGAAAAUCCAGGCAUCAACUUCGGGAUCCAGAACAAAACCUAAAUUACCAAAGAGAAGUGAUUCUAAAUGCACCCUGGGAGCUGUGAUGCAGAUUUGGAGUGCAAAUUUAAUUCCAACAGUACUGCAAAAUAAAAGAUUAUUCUUUCUGUGUAUUCUUAACACACUAGAGCCCAGACAACACUGCUUUAACAUGCCAUCAACAGACUGGAACCUAAAGGGGAGAGAGUCCUUCUUCCUCACUCUGCCAAGGUCAACCUUGGCCUCAGGAGGGCUUAAGAUGCACUGGCAGGAGGACAUGGUGAAGCCACUGGCACCACCAGAAACACAGACAUCUUCCCUGACACCUAGCAGGGUGGAGUAGCAGCGUGCCUGGCUGUCAACUCAGAUAUCAUUUCAAUAUAUGGGGACACUCUACUGAAAUUCUCAAAAUAUUUGAAAGAAAAGUUGGUAAGGGCUUGGACUUCCUGUGUCUGAGAAGCUAGUGAAAUUGGGGUACUGAUGCUAAUGUGCCUCCUAUUCAUCCUCAGGCUGGUGAGGUCUGAGGAAAUUUCAAGUUAUAACCACGUUAGCAGGUAAUCCCAGGUAGAAGUAGGGUACCGCGUGGGGAAUCCAGGGACAAUUCAGUUUGCCUGGAACUUAGGAUCUCUGGAAGUUACUGGAGGAUGUCUGGAAAACUAGGUUUCUCUCAAGUUCUUUGGGACCUGGAAAGCCAAGCUAAGGGGUGUAGACUGCUAAGGCUUACUGAGUCCUGCUGAAAAUGUUUUAACACACAGUGGCAUGCUCAACACUGUGUUUUAGGAAUAUCAAUUGGUCAGCAAGAUAAAAAGAGGUCAUAAAAUGGAGAAAGUGGAGAUCGGAAAAGCAGUCAUAAGAAGAGUCUGGAUAAAUUGAAGAAUAGUGGCCAUGGGACAGAUUCUAGAGCAACUGUGAGGUAGAAUUGAUGAGGCCUGGGCACUUCACCCGACACAUCAUUAAGUGAUGUUUGCAAAUCAUGCUAUACUAUGCAAGUCAACUAUGUAUGAAACUUGCUGAAGUUUAAUGCCUUUGGAUGUAAAGCCACAAGGAUACCUAGAAAAUAUGUCACUGUGGAAUUGUCAGUGUUGCUGUAACUACAGUACGACAGCUCUAACACAUACACAUAUUCUUCACAUAUAUCCUAUAUUUCCCCCUUUUUAUUUAUUUAAAAGAACAAACAUCUUAGAAGGAGAGAGAUGAGCAUGUCAUUUUCCAGACCUUCAGAUUGUUAGCCUGGUCGUGUGAAGAGAAAUCUGAAAAUUAUGCUGUGCUUUAUUCUAAAGAAUCUGAGAAGCCAGACUUCAAGUGUCCUGUCUCCAUCCAGAUUGCGCAUGUUGGGGCUUUGAGUGAGGUCUCAGGUGGGUCUCUGCUCACAUGCCUACCAGACAUAAUCUGCGGUCAGGACCACUGUCCCACAGCGCUGCAGGGAAUCGUUUCAUGUCUGACAUAACAAAGGACAAUUGGAUUCUCAUACCUGUCUUGGCAUUCCAUCUGUUGCAAUAUCAUGUCAUGUAACUCUUGGAAAACUCCAUGGUACACUCGUGAGAGAAUGAAAGUGGAAAAAAAGGCAAAUAACAUCUUAGUAUUAUUAAGAUAAUUUUUACCUCAUUGACCCCCUGAAAGGGCCUUAGGAAUGUACAGGGUUUUCUGAACCACACUUUGAGAAUCACUGGCGUAGAGAAAUAGACUGAUUUGGGAAUCAAGAUCCCUAGGUUUUGGUCAUAAUUCUGGCUUCUUCUAGCAAUGUGGUCUGCAAGAAAUUAUUUAACUUUUUUAAAACAUAGUUUCCACACCUACUAAGUGAAGCAUCCAAACAGAAGAACUUAGAAUAUUACUAAUGCUAAAAUUCUUUAAUUCUUCAAUUUAUAAUUUAAUGUUUACUAAAAGCAACAUUGGCUGUCUUUGAGCCACUUUGGAAGUUACCUAAUGAGAUGUCAGUAUGGUUCAUCCAAAUGUUAAUGGAAGUCAAGUGCCACGGUGUUGAGCUUUAUUUUUGAA